AGAACGAACGCUGGCGGCAGGCCUAACACAUGCAAGUCGAACGCUGUAGCCAUACAGAGUGGCAGACGGGUGAGUAACGCGUGGGAACCUUCCCAGUGGUGCGGAAUAGCUCAGGGAAACUUGAGGUAAUACCGCAUAAGCCCCUAGGGGGAAAGAUUUAUCGCCAUUGGAUGGGCCCGCGUCGGAUUAGCUAGUUGGUGAGGUAAUGGCUCACCAAGGCAACGAUCCGUAGCUGGUUUGAGAGAAUGACCAGCCACACUGGGACUGAGACACGGCCCAGACUCCUACGGGAGCAGCAGUGGGAAUCUGGACAAUGGGCGCAAGCCUGAUCCAGCCAUGCCGCGUGAGUGACGAGGCCUUAGGGUGUAAAGCUCGUUUGCCGGGGUACAUAAGUGACGGUACCCGGAGAAUAAGUCCCGGAUACUUCGUGCCAGCAGCCGC
rnacentral:rRNA from 1 species